CAAGUUGGAUUUGGUUUAACAUGUGAACGAUCCCAUACCAUCCGUGUGAAGAACUGCGGACUUUACUCUGUGUAUGAACUGACACCUCUUGCACUUUGCAAUUCUGCUUACUGUUUUGAAAAGAACAGAACAUGUGUAGAAGGUGAACUCGCUGAAGUCUCAGUGGCCUACCAUAAUGUGACUUGGAAGAGUUUUAUUACUAACAUUGACAUUAGAGGGAAAAACUCUCGGAUCGAAAAGCACGAACCU